rnacentral:rRNA from 1 species
CAGUCGCCGCGGGAAUACGGAGGGUGCAAGCGUUAAUCGGAAUUACUGGGCGUAAAGCGCACGCAGGCGGUCUGUCAAGUCAGAUGUGAAAUCCCCGGGCUUAACCUGGGAACUGCAUUUGAAACUGGCAGGCUAGAGUCUUGUAGAGGGGGGUAGAAUUCCAGGUGUAGCGGUGAAAUGCGUAGAGAUCUGGAGGAAUACCGGUGGCGAAGGCGGCCCCCUGGACAAAGACUGACGCUCAGGUGCGAAAGCGUGGGGAGCAAACAGGAUUAGAUACCCGAGUAGUCCCUGUCUCUUAUAA